rnacentral:ribozyme from 1 species
AUCUUUAAGGUGAGAAUCCUUGACAUUCCUAUGGGGCUUAUAUCUCUUCAAUCGGUCUAAUUAACCUACAUACAGAGAAGAGUAUUAGUGCAGAUGUAAAAAUUAGGA